rnacentral:rRNA from 1 species
AACGAACGCUGGCGGCAGGCAUAACACAGGCAAGUCGAGCGCCCCGCAAGGGGAGCGGCAGACGGGUGAGUAACACGUGGCAACGUACCUUUUGCUACGGAAUAGCUCCGGGAAACUGGAGUUAAUACCGUAUGUGCCCUUCGGGGGAAAGAUUUAUCGGCAAACGAUCGGCCCGCGUCUGAUUAGCUAGUUGGUGGGGUAAUGGACUACCAAGGCGACGAUCAGUAGCUGGUGUGAGAGGAUGAUCAGCCAAACUGGGACUGAGACACUGCCCAGAAUCCUACGGGAGGCAGCGGUGGGGAAGAUUGGACAAUGGGCGCAAGCCUGAUCCGGCCACGCGGCGUGAGUGAUGAAGGCCUUAGGGUUGUAAAGCUCUUUCGCUAGGGAAGAUAAUGACGGUACGUAGAGAAGAAGCCCCGGCUAACCUCGUGCCAGCCGCCGCGGUAA